AGCUUUGCGCAGUGGCAGUAUCGUAGCCAAUGAGGUUUGUCCGAGGCGCGAUUACUGCUAAUAGAAGCUGGAAUAAUAUGAAUAUAUUGGGUUAAAAUAUAUUUUCAAUGUUACCUGUUCUAGCUUUAAA
rnacentral:snRNA from 1 species